rnacentral:rRNA from 1 species
UAGGGAAUAUUGGGCAAUGGACGAGAGUCUGACCCAGCCAUGCCGCGUGCCGGAUGAAGGCCUUCUGGGUUGUAAACGGCUUUUCUCAGGGAAGAAAAAGGGACUGCGGACUCAACUGACGGUACCUGAGGAAUAAGCACCGGCUAACUCCGUGCCAGCAGCCGCGGUAAUACGGAGGGUGCAAGCGUUGUCCGGAUUUAUUGGGUUUAAAGGGUGCGUAGGCGGCUUGUUAAGUCCGGGGUGAAAGCCCACUGCUCAACAGUGGAACUGCCCUGGAUACUGGCAAGCUUGAGUCCAGACGAGGUUGGCGGAAUGGAAGAUGUAGCGGUGAAAUGCAUAGAUAUCUUCCAGAACCCCGAUUGCGAAGGCAGCUGACUAGGCUGGUACUGACGCUGAGGCACGAAAGCGUGGGGAGCGAACAGG